GCCAGGUGUGGUAGUGCACACCUGUAAUCCUAGCCACUGGAGAGGCUGAGGCAGGAGGAUUGCAAGUUCAAGGCCAGCCUUAGCAAAUUAGAGAAGUCCUAAGCCACUU
rnacentral:sRNA from 1 species